UACAGAGGGUGCGAGCGUUAAUCGGAAUUACUGGGCGUAAAGCGCGCGUAGGCGGCUUUGCAAGUCGGGUGUGAAAUCCCCAGGCUUAACCUGGGAACUGCAUUCGAGACUGCAUUGCUAGAGUAUGGGAGAGGGAAGUGGAAUUUCCGGUGUAGCGGUGAAAUGCGUAGAUAUCGGGAGGAACGCCAGUGGCGAAGGCGACUACCUGGCCUGUUCUUGACGCUGAGGCGCGAAAGCUAGGGGAGCAAACGGG
rnacentral:rRNA from 1 species